rnacentral:sRNA from 1 species
AGAGGACUCACGUGCACACCUGCAUGGCAGAACCAGGCUCUGGGCCCAGGCGUCUGACACUGAGUAGCUCGCCUCUCCCAGGGGCGCUGGUGUGGGCCGAUGCAAGUGCCACCAUGGGUGUGUGUGUGUGGCUCCCUGGGCCACCUCACUCCAAUUAAGCAGGUCCAGGUGGGACACAGCCUGGGACCAGCCCCGCAGCUGCAUGUGUUAACCACAACAGAUGGCCGUAGCCACCGGGCUUGUCCUUGGUGCAGUCAGCCUGGGGGCUGCGGGGGCUUGUGGAAGCAUGUGGGAAGACGGUCCCACUGGUCAGCAGAGCAGGGUCCUCACCGACCCACAGAGGAGCAUGUCACAGGACAGGCAGGCGUGUCAGGGAAGGCCAGGCUAGUGCCAGCCGAGGGCAUUUCCUCCCAGACUGCCCUUUUCCUCACACUCCCACCACACAGCCCUCAAAGCCUGUGUCCCUGUGGGCCCCUGGCCAAGGAGCAAGGGCUGCCCUGCCUGGGCCCCCCCGCCAGCCCGUUGGUCACCUCAUGCUGUGUGCCAGGCUCGGGGAGUGUGCCUGUGUGUGUGUCCAGGUGGCAUUUGGAUGAAGACACAGGUGUGUGGUGAGGCUGUGCGGGAGGACGGGCCUAUGCGUGCGGUGGGCAGGUGGUGUGAAGGCGGGCGGGCGUGUGGCAGCGCGCCGGCUGAGCCCCUCCACUUCCAGGUCAGCCAGAGCAGCCUCCCCAUGCUGUCCUCGCCGUCACCGGGCCAGCAGGUGCAGACCCCGCAGUCGAUGCCCCCACCCCCCCAGCCGUCCCCGCAGCCCGGCCAGCCCAGCUCACAGCCCAACUCCAACGUCAGCUCUGGCCCUGCCCCGUCCCCCAGUAGCUUCCUGCCUAGCCCCUCACCGCAGCCCUCCCAGAGCCCAGUGACGGCGCGGACCCCACAGAACUUCAGUGUCCCCUCACCUGGACCUUUAAACACACCUGUGAACCCCAGCUCUGUCAUGAGCCCAGCUGGCUCCAGCCAGGCUGAGGAACAGCAGUACCUGGACAAGCUGAAGCAACUGUCCAAGUACAUCGAGCCCCUACGCCGCAUGAUCAACAAGAUCGACAAGAACGAAGGUAGGCUGCAGCCAGGGCACGAGCCUGCACCCUGGGGACACCGCCGGGCUUGUGUCUUAGUGUACCCUCUUCUGUCCCAGACAGAAAAAAGGACCUGAGUAAGAUGAAGAGCCUUCUGGACAUUCUGACAGACCCCUCGAAGCGGUGUCCCCUGAAGACCUUGCAAAAGUGUGAGAUCGCCCUGGAGAAACUCAAGAAUGACAUGGCGGUGCCCACUCCCCCACCGCCCCCGGUGCCACCGACCAAACAGCAGUACCUAUGCCAGCCGCUCCUGGAUGCCGUCCUGGCCAACAUCCGCUCACCUGUCUUCAACCAUUCCCUGUACCGCACAUUCGUUCCAGCCAUGACCGCCAUUCACGGCCCACCCAUCACGGCCCCAGUGGUGUGCACCCGGAAGCGCAGGCUUGAGGAUGAUGAGCGGCAGAGCAUCCCCAGUGUGCUCCAGGGCGAGGUGGCCAGGCUGGACCCCAAGUUCCUGGUAAACCUGGACCCUUCUCACUGCAGCAACAAUGGCACUGUCCACCUGAUCUGCAAGCUGGAUGACAAGGACCUCCCGAGUGUGCCACCACUGGAGCUCAGUGUGCCCGCUGACUAUCCUGCCCAAAGCCCACUGUGGAUCGACCGGCAGUGGCAGUACGACGCCAACCCCUUCCUCCAGUCGGUGCACCGCUGCAUGACCUCCAGGCUGCUGCAGCUCCCAGACAAGCACUCGGUCACCGCCUUGCUCAACACUUGGGCCCAGAGCGUCCACCAGGCCUGCCUCUCAGCCGCCUAGCCAAGACUGCAGGGAUGGCCCGCAGCCUCAUCGGGGCCAAGGACACACGCCUCGUGUCAGGCACUUCUAGGUGUUGGCUUCCUUAGAGAGCCUGGGUUUAGGUUAGCUUUCCUGCUUUUAUCUUCUGCCUUGGGGACCUGCCAAACGAAAUCCCACACCUGUACAGAACUGGGAUAGGCGCAGUGGAGCGGGCUGCUUGGGGGGUGUUGGCCGACUUCUUACAGAAGGCCCUCCAUGUGACUUCCUCCAAGGAGCCAGAUGCGAUCCUUGGGCUGCUCUCACUGUGGCCUGUCCACGGUCCAGGUCCAUCUCAGCAGCGUGAGGGUGCACUCAGGGUGUUGUUAGAGCGUCUCGUGUGUGCUAGACACACCCCUACUCGUUCCUAUAGGAGAACACAGAGGACAUAGGAAACCCUUAAAACACACAUGGGAUUCUCUGGUCACAGUUUUGGGUUCAGGCUACGCUGCUUUGGGCAGGUAGGGCACCCUCUGGGGAAGCCCCCAAGUCCAGGGCACAGGCUGCCUUUUGGAGGGAGGGCU